rnacentral:rRNA from 1 species
CACAGUGUAGCAAUACAUGGGUGGCGACCGGCAAACGGGUGCGGAACACGUACGCAACUUCCUUCAGGCGGGGAAUAGCCCAGAGAAAUUUGGAUUAAUACCCCAUAAUAUUUUGAGAUGGCAUCAUCUUAUUAUUAAAGCUACGGCACCUGGAGAUGGGCGUGCGGCUGAUUAGGUAGUUGGCGGGGUAAUGGCCCACCAAGCCUACGAUCAGUAGCUGAUGUGAGAGCAUGAUCAGCCACACGGGCACUGAGACACGGGCCCGACUCCUACGGGAGGCAGCAGUAAGGAAUAUUGGUCAAUGGACGCAAGUCUGAACCAGCCAUGCCGCGUGGAGGAUGAAGGUCCUCUGGAUUGUAAACUUCUUUUAUCUGGGACGAAAAAAGGGUUUUCUAACUCGUCUGACGGUACCAGAUGAAUAAGCACCGGCUAACUCCGUGCCAGCAGCCGCGGUAAUACGGAGGGUGCAAGCGUUAUCCGGAUUCACUGGGUUUAAAGGGUGCGUAGGCGGGCAUUUAAGUCAGUGGUGAAAUACCUGAGCUUAACUUGGGAACUGCCAUUGAUACUAUUUGUCUUGAAUGUCGUGGAGGUUAGCGGAAUAUGUCAUGUAGCGGUGAAAUGCUUAGAUAUGACAUAGAACACCUAUUGCGAAGGCAGCUAACUACGCGAAUAUUGACGCUGAGGCACGAAAGCGUGGGGAUCAAACAGAUUAGAUACCCUGGUAGUCCACGCCCUAAACGA